GACGAACCGUGCGAACGUUGUUCGGAAUCACUGGGCUUAAAGGGCGCGUAGGCGGGCGGGCAAGUCGGAGGUGAAAGCCCCCAGCUCAACUGGGGAAGUGCCCUCGAUACUGCCGGCCUGGAGGGAGGUAGGGGCGUGCGGAACUUCCGGUGGAGCGGUGAAAUGCGUAGAUAUCAGGAGGAACACCAAUAGCGAAGGCAGCUCGCUGGGACGGUACUGACGCUAAGGCGCGAAAGCGUGGGGAGCGAACAGG
rnacentral:rRNA from 1 species